CGCUCACUCCGCUUCCGGGAUUUGAACCUGCAACCUUUCGGUCUGCAAGUUCAGCAGCUCAGUGCUUUAACACGCUUCACCACCGGGACUCCUACUUUUCCAGUUAACCCUUCCAUAAUGGUGUCUUUACAAACCUUCACAAAACACCCUACAUCUGUGGUGUAGGAGGCUUGGUUUGGACUUUAUACUAGACUUUAAAGGAAUUAUCCAAGGAAGUCAAACAAAAUGGAUCAGGGCCUCGACGAAAGCCGGGACACGAAACAGAACAAGUAUAGAGAUGAUGAAGACAUACUAGAAAUGAUGACAUCUUCAAUGUUUGCUUCAUCCCGGCACAGCACUGUCACCUUCUGAAGAAAGUACCUCAACCUCAUCAAAGGUCUUCGCAGACUCGGGAUGACAAACUUUGUUCUUACAUGAACAAAGAAGAGGACACACUGUAAAAGACUCCCUUCAGAUAGGACACAAAGACUUUUUAUAGCAUCACAAACUGUCAGGUAAUGUGGAUUAUACAUUAUGCAUCAAAGAUUUGGCUCAGUAAGUAAGAAGUGCUUUCUAUUAUACUUCUUUGACCAUCUAGAAACUCCUACCUUCUGACUUGUAGGUUCUUGUCUUUUGUUGUCAUUAUUUAUCAGUAAAGAAGAUCCAU